GAUGAACGCUAGCUACAGGCUUAACACAUGCAAGUCGAGGGGAAACGACAUCGAAAGCUUGCUUUUGAUGGGCGUCGACCGGCGCACGGGUGAGUAACGCGUAUCCAACCUGCCCAUCACUUGGGAAUAACCUUGCGAAAGUAAGACUAAUACCCAAUGAUAUCCCACGAAGGCACCGGAAUGGGAUUAAAGAUUUAUCGGUGAUGGAUGGGGAUGCGUCUGAUUAGCUUGUUGGCGGGGUAACGGCCCACCAAGGCAACGAUCAGUAGGGGUUCUGAGAGGAAGGUCCCCCACAUUGGAACUGAGACACGGUCCAAACUCCUACGGGAGGCAGCAGUGAGGAAUAUUGGUCAAUGGGCGAGAGCCUGAACCAGCCAAGUAGCGUGCAGGAAGACGGCCCUAUGGGUUGUAAACUGCUUUUAUAAGGGAAUAAAGUGGGUCACGUGUGACUUUUUGCAUGUACCUUAUGAAUAAGGACCGGCUAAUUCCGUG
rnacentral:rRNA from 1 species